CUGAGGAAAGUUCUUAAAGCCAUGUCGGGGAUAUUACGUUAAAUUUAAUCUUAUGACAUGAUAAAUGCAAACAUUACGUAGUGGUUGCAAAGGAAAUUUCGUUUGAACAGCGACCGUUCAAUUUGUAUUGACUCAGCAUAGAGUUGCAUAUAAAAGAUCGAUAUCGAACUUCUAUAACGAGGCUAUAAAAAGCUCUGACGACUCAAACCUCCAAACUUUCAAUGGAAAAUAAGUUUGGAAGAUUUCUAUCGUCAUAGCUACACACUUUCGCUGUUCAACUGUCCGCUGCCCUUCGCAGCAUGUCUACGUGAUGUCGUCUGCUAACAAACAAAAUAUUUAUAUUAUUGAGUCAAAACAAUAAGAUUUUUUCCAAUUGAUAGUUCUAGAAGAAGGUGAUGCAACUUUCAAUACACUGCCAGAGGUCCAAGUUACUUUCCAAAAAUAACUAAGCCUUAUGGCUUGCAGUCCAAUCCAGCAUCAAGAAGUCGCCUUUGUUAUUUUGUUCUCCUUUCUCAUGCUCCAUUUAUGUGAUGCCUUUGAUCAUCAUUCACGUGACGAAGACGUCUCACAAUGUCCCCAUUCAAAUGGUUUUGAGGACAAAACGGAGACAAUGCACAAUGUACAGCUGCUGAGACACCUACAGAGUUUCAUGCAAAUAGUGGUAUUUGUGACUUGGUGACAUAGUUCAAUGUCGUAAUAACAAACUUGAUGUCUGAAUUAUUUAACAAAUCUAGGCACUGAGAUGAAGUAGUUUUAGAUUCUUUCUAGAUGAGUCUUUUAGAAGCUUAUAUCUAAAGUAAUUACUAUAACUAUUGUUUGUUUUUUUUGGGGGGGGGGGAGUUGAUGUAGAUAGUGAAAUGCAAACAAAAUUUAUUUGAAAAAGAGCAAAAUAAGCAAUAAAAAUUUAAAAGUAAGAUUUUAGACGCUAGAUCGACAAGAUUUGUGUUUAUUUCGUCAGUCUAUUUCUCCCAGGACAGAUUCCAGUGAAUAUGGUUGCAGACGCGAAAUAAGAAAUUCAUUCACGGCAGACAUAUAAGAUAAGAUAAUAAGUAUUCCACAAUGUGGUCUUUGUAGCCACGUGAAAUAAUAAUUAUAAUAAUUGAAUUAAUAGAGAGUUGUUAAGCAAUACGUAAGUUCAAGGCAAUAGGACAACAGACGUCACGGUAGUCUAACCUAUAAAAGUUUGCUUAGGUAGGUCUUAAUGUUCUUUCGAAAUGUAGUGAAGCAGUUUAUCCUCCCUCAAUUCAUAGGGAGCAAGCUCCAAUGCACUAAAAAAAAACAGCAAAUCGUAAAUUUGGAGGGAGAAACGUGGCACAAUUAGAAGCGUUGAAUCAAUGGAGUGCAUCACCUGUACUUUACUAAAUUAUGGAACGGAAGACAUCUUUUAAAAAAAAAUUAUUAUUAACUCUUUUUCUCCUAACUGAUGAUACCAGCGUUGAUUCCACCAGAAUGUGGUAAAUAAUUACGGAGAGAAAGAGUUAAUAUAGCCCAGGACUGGAAUAAUAAAUGGAUUAUAUUGUAGCGAAUACAGAAAAAUCCUAAAUUGUUAAGGACCAUAAACGAUACGUAUACCGUGGAAAUGUGAAGAUCAACAAAUUCCACCAAGUGAUUUUAAAAUUCUUGAUAAUAUUUUCCUGGCCUCAAGCUGCCUACGACAGAAUCAAAAAGCUGGCUAGAUGAAGAAUAAGCAGAACCUGGAGAAACUAGUGAACUGGUUGCUUUCAUAUCUUGAGGUCUAAUUUCCAUUGAAGAGCAAUCUAUCCCAAUGGCUAGCAGUCGACACUCUCUUCCAGAGAUAGAACUGGCUCUUAUGAUGCUGUUUCUGACACUCCAGUUGUCUAGCAACAAAACAUGUCCUCACAAAGUCCUAGACAAAACCACUGCUGACUGUGAACAAGAGCAGCGUAGUGUGGAAGAGAUAAAGAAUGACCUCCAGAGUGCUCAAAUCUUCAUGCAGCUAGCAACGAUUGUGAUAUUGUGUGGCUCUUGAGAAAUGAUUUCAUAUUACUACAUCUCCGUCCUACGUAACCUUACCUCAUAUAAAAAAUUUUUUAACUAUAAGCACUGUUUUGUUUUGUUUUUCUUUUUUACAGAAGAACUAAAUAAAACUUCAACCUUUUAUAACAUUAUUUGAUGAGUCUAUUUGAAAUAUCAAAUAUAUUAAUUUGUGCAAUGAAAUCUGACUAUUUUAUGUAUGAAUUUAUUUUGCAUACUUCAUUUAUCUGAUAUCUCUUUAUCUCGCUCUUUUUUAGCGGCCCACGAAAGGGGAAAAGACGCUAUUAGUUUUGUGUGGAAUGUCCGUCCGUCCGUCCGUCCCGUUUAGAUCUCGUAAACUACAAAAGAUAUUGAAAAUAGGAAAUCAUGAUAUUUUAGACCUAUCAAAGUGGUAACGGCUACUUUUUUUUUUCCGAAACUGAACCAUUUAAUUUUUUAAAUUACAUAUGCAAGCAGAUUUUUCAGAAAAGGACACCACUGUUAAAUGAAAAACUUCAGGGGAGGUAACUUUUUAAAAAAAAAGGCUAAAGACUUCUUCAUUAAUAACUCAAUCUUCAUUCAUAGAUUCGCGCAUUGGUACAAAAAAUGGGCAUCUAAGGUCACAAUGGAAAAAGUGUGAACGGACCAUUAUAAAAUAUACAUUCCAUUUAUUAACUAACUCAAUGAAUAAAAUACUGAUUGAAAUAA